rnacentral:lncRNA from 1 species
CGGUUGACUGAUUGUACCCGCCAGCUGGCUAAUAUCAUAAUUAACAAAGUUGCUACUACAUCUGCAAAGUUUAAUCGAAAAAUUUGCCAGUGAUAUGAUGGCAUUGUCACAAAGAUCACAAGGGACACGGAGUUGACUUUUGCUCAAGGUGGAAUGGCAAAGCUGUAUAGGCAAGACAAGAAAUUGUGAACUUGUUCAGCCAAAGGUUAUGCUUCAUAUCACCCACCGGGGAGGAUCAUCUCUCAUGAAAACUUUCAAAUUUGAUUUUGAAAAUUAUUCAGAAAAAUUUAAGCCACACUGUCUCCCAAUAUAGGAAAGAAUAUACUCUGGAGGUUCCUAUAAUUCAAAGAAAAUGGACUAGGAUAACAUUUGGGUUCUCGUGCUACCAAAAUCCUCUUGAGAAGGAUAGCCAGUGUCGGAACAGGACUCGUCACCUUGGACGUCGGAGGGCCCCUUCAUUGUCUCUGUUUGUGGUUACAGCGUUUGCCUAUUCCUUGUGCUAUUUCUAUUUUUGUCAUUGGAGUCCAUGAAGACUUAAUCAUCAGCCCUCUCUAAUUUUCCGGAAAGAAAAAAGAAAAAGGAAAUAUGUUGAUUUAUUGAACUGGCUGCAGAAAGAAGAAGAGGAAGAAGAAGGAGAAGGAGAAGAAGAUCAAUCUGCCAUUGAGGCUAAUAACGUGCGGCCGGGAAGGAGGCCGCGCUCCCAGGGUUAUCUCGCCGCCUCAGAUGCCGGGAAGCCCAAGGAGCCCAGCCGCUUCUGGACGACGUUCAGCAAGGCCGCAGUGAUCCCUGCGCGGAGAAGAGCCUGCCUGCUCUUUUCCAAGGUAAACAGCCCAUUUCCUCCGUCGGCUGCAUGGUUCGGUCCGAGAAUAUGUUUCUGUGAAGAUCUCUAUAAAGUUUGCCUCCGAAAACAUCGUUUUAGGUGCUGGACACCCCCGCCUGGCCGAGCCCGGGCCCCAAGGAGGUGCCAGGCUCACUUCGCAUCACGGGAAACGAACUGCCCAGGAGUCCGCGGAAGAUGGGCGAGCGGAGCCCGUGCUGCCCGGUGCGGGUCGGGCUCCACGCCGGGACGGCUGCAGCCCACGGAGGCUUCGCUUAGGAUAAUCACGUUCUCUCCUAGGAGCCCGCGGCCUGGAGCGCCGGGGCUCGCCGAAGGGCGCUCGCAGCAGCGCCGGCAGGUGCACAGGUUCCCGGUUGUUACUUCCCGUGCCUAACCCUACGUUCGCAAAUAGGCAGAAGGCGAUUCGGGCGCUCGCUCUGUGUGUCUGUGUGUCCCGCUGUGAGUGCACGUCCACUCCCGUGUCUGUGUACGUCUGUGCCCCCGUUCCUGUCUUCAAUCCCUCGUGCACGUCCCUCCCCCCGGUCGGUUGGUCCGUCGGUCGGUCGGGGAGGUUUGGCCAGCCAGCGCCUGCUCAGAUGUGGUCCCAGGCUCUCAUUUGAUUUUUGGCCCGGGACAAAAAGAACGUGUCACAUCGUGAUGAAUGGUCAAUCUGAAUUUUCAAUUCAUCUGAAAGGAGGAGGGGGAGGAGGAUAUGAGCCUGCUGAUGAGACGAACCUUUUCCCUUUGGGAAGAGCAGGAUUCAAAUUAAACAUCACUUUCGGUGUGAAAUGAGUCUGGAGGCUUCUUGUCUCCGCCCCCCCCCCCCUUUAACUCCUUGGUGGCCACUCCUUCGGAGAGGACCCUUCGUGGCCAGGUCCAUCCCCAGUAGGCCUCAGCUCCUCUUCUUUUGUUUUAUUUUCUCUCAAGACUGGGUCCAAGAAACUAAGAAACACACACACACACACACACACACACACACACAGUGGAUGUCUUACUAUUUUAAAAGUGAUAUGAUUUUCCCCAAGAUGUGUUAUUCCCUUGCGUCCCAAACUAAUGUUUCCAACAAGUACAAAUAAACCAACAAACCAAUAAGUCA